rnacentral:snRNA from 11 species
AUAAUAAUAAUAAUAAUAAUAAUAAUAAUAAUAAUAAUAAUAAUAAGGGUGAGGUCCUUCCAUUGCACUUAGGUUGGGUUGACCCCUGCGAGUAUUCCAAAUGUGAAUACCUCGGGCGCGUAAUUUUUGGUAGCGGGGAUUGCGUACGCGCAUAA